rnacentral:lncRNA from 1 species
UUCAGGGAGGAACCUGACAAAAGCACAUGCGGCCUGCCUGUCAUGUUUUUUCCAGGGGAUUUGUGGGCUGAGGAAACCUGAGUUCCUGCCCUGGCCCCCUGGGUGCCAUCCCUGCUGGAGGGGAGAUGAAGGAAGCACAGCUACCCUACUUGAGCUCCCAAGUCAGCGAGCCUCCAGGAGGCUUCCCAUGAGUCCUCAUUCUUUGACAACUGCCUCUGGGCUCAAGGCAAUGUUAGGGUUUUGUUUGUUUGUUUUGAGGCGGAGUUUCACUCGUCGCACAGGCUGGAGUGCAGUGGCACGAUCUGGACUCACUGCAACCACCACCUCCCGGGUUCAAGCGAUUCUCUUGACUCAGCCUCCUGAGUAGCUGGGAUUACAGGCGCCCGCCACCACGCCCGGCUAAUUUUUAUAUAUUUAGUAGAGAUGGGGUUUCACCACGUUGGCCAGGCUGGUCUUGAACUCCUGACCUCAGGUAAUCUGCCUGCCUCAGCCUCCCAAAGUGCUGGGAUUACAGGCAUGAGCCACCAUGCCUGGCCCUGAUUUUAUAUUCAGAUGGUUUCUGUGUUCUCCACCAUGCUUUCUCCUUUCCCAAGUGUUUUUUUGUUCGUUUGUUUUGUUUUGUUUUUUGAGAUGGGGUCUCACUCUGUAGCCCAGGCUGGAGUGCAGUGGUGUGAUCUCAGCUCACUGCAACUGCCGCCUCCCAGGUUCAAGCGAUUCUCCUGCUUCAGCCUCCCAAGUAGCUGGGAUUACAGGUGCGCACCACCAUGCCUGGCUGUUUUUGUAUUUUUAGUAGAGAUGGGGUUUCACCAUGUUGGCCAGGUUGGUCUGGAACUCUGGACCUCAGGUGAUCUGCCUGCCUCGGCCUCCCAAAGUGCUGGGAUUACAGGUGUGAGCCACUGCUCCAGGCCUGUUCCCAAGUACCCUUGGCUGUCUGUUCUUGUCAGAUGUUAAGGACACCUGAGGAUGUCAGGGCAGGACGUUUCGGGUGCAACCUCAAGAAGUGGGAGUGAGGAAGAGGAGGCCGGGGUGGGUCAGAGGGCAGGGUCACUGUGGGGCGCGUCUGCCCUGUACUCAGUGUGGCACCAUCGGGCCCCUCCUGCUGUUGCCUGGGAAGCCUUACCCAGCAGUGAGGGGUGGCUGUGGAGCAGCAGGGCCGGGAGCGGGGGAGCAUUUUUGCUGCCACCUUUUAGUGGAGUUGGGGGAAUGACAAAGGUGCCCUGGGCCUGAGUCUUUCAGUGGCGCUGGCAGUCGGCCGGGAGGGAGACGCAUACUGGGGAGCUGGAGCCUGCACACUGGGCCUGGCCACAUCACUGUUUUCCUCACCCUCUGGUUUUAUUUUGAAACAUUUGGAGCAUAAAAGUUGCAGGAGCACGCAGUGCAUACUGUAUCGCCCUGGCCUGGGUUCCCCGGCUCUCCUUCCCUCUCUCUCUCCUCUUUUUUCUCUCUCCCUCCCUCUGUCUCUCCUCCACACACUUCUCUUUUGCCAAACCAUCCAAAUGCAGGCAGCAGACUCCAAAACCAUUCUGCCUGCACCUCUGAGCACACCCUUCCCAGUCAUAGCCAUGUUAAUGCGAGUGUGCCUGAGAGGAUCGCCGCUGGUUCCGUGAUAUCACCCAGCAUCAUCCACACCACAUCCCAGUGAGCAGUGAGGACAAAAAUGGCCAGGGAUGCGUGAAAUCCACUAGCUCCAGUGGCCAGACACAUCCCGGUUGCCUCCAGGUUGUAAGCAAUCCUGAAAUAGCCUCGUAUGUUCCUAGGACAGAGUUCUAGAAGUGAGAUUGCCGAACUGGAAGAAUGCAAGUUACAUUCAACCCACGUCCUGCGAAUGCCGAUCUCUCCGGCAUUUGUCAACACCUGGUUUUAUCAUCAAGAAGAAAACAGUAAUAACGCGUCCUCCGCUUGGC